UAGCAAAAGCGUUUGAUUUGGGGGUGAAAUGAGGGAUUUUUGAAGAGAAAAUGAGUGAUUUUCAAGUUAAAAGGGUGAUUUUCCAAGAGAAAAUGCGUGAUUUUGGGGUGAAAUGGGGUAAUUUUUGAAGGAAAUGUAUUAUUUUGGGGCUAAAUGGGAGAUUUCCGAAGAGAAAUUGUGUUUUUAUCAGGUUAAAUGGGGGAUUCUCGAAGAGAAAAUGCAUGGUUUUUGGAUUAAAUGGGGGAUUUUUGAAAAGAAAAUGCAUGACUUUCGGGUUAGAUCAGGGAUUCUUGAAGAGAAAAUGCAUCAUUUUUGGGUGGCAUGGGGGAUUUCCGAAGAGAAAU
ensembl:lncRNA